rnacentral:rRNA from 1 species
UACAGAGGGUGCAAGCGUUGUUCGGAAUUAUUGGGCGUAAAGGGCGUGUAGGCGGUUUGUUAAGUCUUCUGUGAAAUCUACGGGCUUAGCCUGUAACGUGCAGAGGAAACUGACAGGCUUGAGUGUCGGAGAGGAUAGGGGAAUUCCCGGUGUAGAGGUGAAAUUCGUAGAGAUCGGGAGGAACACCAGUGGCGAAGGCGCCUGUCUGGCUGACAACUGACGCUGAGACUCGAAAGCAUGGGGAGCAAACAGG